GGGUCCGGACACACUGAGGAUUGACAGGCAAUAUUAAUACGUGUUUCGGCGCGUAUUAUGUUAAAUAUGCUAGUCCUUUCAUGAUUAUGUGAUAGGUGGUGCAUGGCCGUUCUUAGUUCGUGGAGUGAUCUGUCUGCUUAAUUGCGUUUCACUAAGAGUCUAUCAAUACGUGCGUUGCGGCACUUUGACCCCUCUCUGAGCGCGCGUCUUAGUUGCUUAGCUCGCACAAUUAGGCUCUGAAAGCAACGAACGUGACCGCAACCUCUUGUUGCCUUUAUACCAAACAUUUUUGCUGUUCUCAGCAUUAAUGCAAAAAGGCUUUUUAAACUAGAGGGACCGCUGUUACUUUCUUAAACCAGAGGAAGGUUGCGGCAAUAACAGGUCUGUGAUGCCCUUAGAUGUUCCGGGCUGCACACGUGCUACAAUGAUUGUUGCAGUGAGCAUCUCAUUUUUACACACCGCAUGCGCGAGUCCGUUUAUUCACUUCGGUGUUUUAAACGUGUGUUUCUGCGCGCGGUAAAGCCUGCUUCGAGAGUAAGUGGGU
rnacentral:rRNA from 1 species